GCCUUCGUGGUGUAGCGGUCAGCACGCUCGACGCGUAUUCGAGAGGUCCGUGGUUCGAGUCCCGGCGAGGGCA
rnacentral:tRNA from 2 species